GACGAACGCUGGCGGCGUGCUUAACACAUGCAAGUCGAACGCUGAAGCUCAGCUUUUGUUGGGUGGAUGAGUGGCGAACGGGUGAGUAACACGUGAGUAACCUGCCCCCUUCUUUGGGAUAACGCCCGGAAACGGGUGCUAAUACUGGAUAUUCACUGGUCUUCGCAUGGGGGUUGGUGGAAAGGGUUUUUCUGGUGGGGGAUGGGCUCGCGGCCUAUCAGCUUGUUGGUGGGGUGAUGGCCUACCAAGGCUUUGACGGGUAGCCGGCCUGAGAGGGUGACCGGUCACAUUGGGACUGAGAUACGGCCCAGACUCCUACGGGAGGCAGCAGUGGGGAAUAUUGCACAAUGGGCGCAAGCCUGAUGCAGCGACGCCGCGUGAGGGAUGGAGGCCUUCGGGUUGUGAACCUCUUUCGCUCAUGGUCAAGCCGCAACAAUGGUUGUGGUGAGGGUAGUGGGUAAAGAAGCGCCGGCUAACUAC
rnacentral:rRNA from 1 species